GGGCCUCUAGCUCAACCGGCAGAGCAGCGGACUUUUAAUCCGCGGGUUGUGGGUUCGAUCCCCACGGGGCCCA
rnacentral:tRNA from 2 species